UACAGAGGGGGCAAGCGUUGUUCGGAAUUACUGGGCGUAAAGGGCGCGUAGGUGGCCUUCUAAGUUGAACGUGAAAUCCCUGGGCUCAACCCAGGAACUGCGUCCAAGACUGGGAGGCUUGAAUCCGGGAGAGGGAUGCGGAAUUCCAGGUGUAGCGGUGAAAUGCGUAGAUAUCUGGGGGAACACCGGUGGCGAAGGCGGCAUCCUGGACCGGUAUUGACACUGAGGCGCGAAAGCCAGGGGAGCAAACGGG
rnacentral:rRNA from 1 species